GACAGCAGUUACAUCACCCUGCAAAUCACAAAUGGCCGCCCACUAAAGCUAAGCAGGUGUGAGCGUGGUCUGUACCUGCAUGGGAGGCCUCCUGGGAAAAACUAAGGUUGCUGCUGGAA
rnacentral:rRNA from 1 species